rnacentral:rRNA from 1 species
AUGAACGCUAGCGACAGGCUUAACACAUGCAAGUCGAGGGGUAACAGGGUGUAGCAAUACACCGCUGACGACCGGCGCACGGGUGAGUAACGCGUAUGCAACCUGCCUUUGACAGAGGGAUAGCCCAUGGAAACGUGGAUUAAUACCUCAUAGUCUCUUUUUCCUUCCUGGGGAAUAGAGUAAAACGAGAGUGGUCAAAGAUGGGCAUGCGUCCUAUUAGGCAGUUGGCGGGGUAACGGCCCACCAAACCGAUGAUAGGUAGGGGUUCUGAGAGGAAGGUCCCCCACACUGGUACUGAGACACGGACCAGACUCCUACGGGAGGCAGCAGUGAGGAAUAUUGGUCAAUGGUCGAGAGACUGAACCAGCCAAGUCGCGUGAGGGAAGACUGCCCUAUGGGUUGUAAACCUCUUUUCUACUGGGAGAAUAAGCCUUAUGUAUAAGGUGAUGACAGUACAGUAGGAAUAAGCAUCGGCUAACUCCGUGCCAGCAGCCGCGGUAAUACGGAGGAUGCGAGCGUUAUCCGGAUUUAUUGGGUUUAAAGGGUGCGUAGGCGGCUUUAUAAGUUAGUGGUAAAAUUUCGGAGCUUCACUCCGGUCCGCCAUUAAAACUGUAGAGCUAGAGAAUGGACGAGGUAGGCGGAAUAAGUUAAGUAGCGGUGAAAUGCAUAGAUAUAACUUAGAACUCCGAUAGCGAAGGCAGCUUACCAGACCAUAACUGACGCUGAUGCACGAGAGCGUGGGUAGCGAACAGGAUUAGAUACCCUGGUAGUCCACACCGUAAACGAUGAUUACUAGGUGUUGGAGGAUUGACCCCUUCAGUGCCGCAGUUAACACAAUAAGUAAUCCACCUGGGGAGUACGACCGCAAGGUUGAAACUCAAAGGAAUUGACGGGGGCCCGCACAAGCGGAGGAACAUGUGGUUUAAUUCGAUGAUACGCGAGGAACCUUACCUGGGUUUAAAUGUAUAUUGCAUAAUCUGGAAACAGUUUUUCUCUUCGGAGCUAUAUACAAGGUGCUGCAUGGUUGUCGUCAGCUCGUGCCGUGAGGUGUCGGGUUAAGUCCCAUAACGAGCGCAACCCUUACCGUUAGUUGCUAGCAUGUAAUGAUGAGCACUCUAGCGGGACUGCCACCGUAAGGUGAGAGGAAGGGGGGGAUGACGUCAAAUCAGCACGGCCCUUACAUCCAGGGCGACACACGUGUUACAAUGGCCAUAACAGCGGGUAGCUACCGGGUGACCGGAUGCAAAUCUCGAAAAUUGGUCUAAGUUCGGAUUGGAGUCUGCAACCCGACUCCAUGAAGUUGGAUUCGCUAGUAAUCGCGCAUCAGCCAUGGCGCGGUGAAUACGUUCCCGGGCCUUGUACACACCGCCCGUCAAGCCAUGGAAGCUGGGAGUACCUGAAGUCCGUAACCGCGAGGAUCGGCCUAGGGUAAUACCGGUAACUGGGGCU